GCUGGGCAUGGUGGCGCAUGCCUGUAAUCUCAGUGGCUCAGCAGGCUGAGGCAGGAGGAUCGCAAGUUCAGAGUCAGCCUUAGCAAAGGGGAGGUGCUGAACAACUCAGUGAGACCCUGUUUCAA
rnacentral:sRNA from 1 species